GGGCGGGAGGCUGCUGUGCGGCAACGCGGGGGUCGAGGCCGGUACCUGACUCUGUCCUUCUCCGCCCGCCGGAGCUCCGAGUCCCUCUGCAGCACCUGGAAAAUCGUCCUGGCUUCCUCCUCGUUUAGGAAGCUGAGGGAAGGUAAGGGGCAGUGUUUGGAAAGUUUUCACGAAGAAAUAGGUGUUUGUAACCUCCCCAUUACAGCCACGUCUCAGCGGUAAUUUCAUCCUGCGUUUCGCUCUGGUGGCUCUGACGGGGACCUGGAAGACCUGCGCGGGUGCAAGCAGUUGCGUCUCUCUGAAGUACGUUUCUAGCAUCUGUGACUGUCUGACAUGUGCUAGCUGAACAGCUAGUAGGAUAUCUUCCAAAAUAUUUCCCUCGAAGAGAGGCCGUACUCAGGGCUGAACUGCAGAUGUGGUCACAGCUGUGUGGGGAAGAAGUAGAUGCCGUUUUUGCCGUGGAAAAGCGAGCCGGCGGGUGCGUCGCAUGGCUGCGUGUGGUGGGAGCGGAGUGGGCGUACGCAGCGGCAUCCCCGUGCGGCCGGGCGCUGGAGCGGGGCUGCCCCCAGGGUGGCCCCGGCGGGGAGCCAGGCUGGGCCGGGGGAAGCAAGGGCCUCAGAGCACCGCGGCAGCGCCAGGAUCCAGGACGCUCCUUGUUUUGGGGUAGUUUCUGGCACCAGUAGGCUGGCCCAAAGAGGAACUUACCUGAUUCCUGGUGAUGAAACAACAAAAAGAAGGCUACAAAGCAGCCGAUGAAGAUAUAAGGAAAGUAUUAUGUUGUUUAGAAGAUGUUGAGAGGCAAUGUGUCCCACUGAGAAAACAGCAAGCAGACCUACUGGAUUUUUAACAGAGUAUAGGAUCUGUCUUUGAGUGAAGUCCAAGCAUGUUAUUUCCAAAGGUGCAAGAGCCACAACCAUCACUGGUGUAUUAGAGCACAAUAACAUUCUUUUCUGCAGAUCCAUUGCAAUGAGCUUGAUUCAGAUAGUUCAGUUUAGAAAGCUUAAUAGCAGGGUUCAGCUCCUGGAGCAAGUUUCUGUUCGUUAUCUGAGAUGUCUGUUGCCUCUGUUGCCACAACACAGGGCCUUGUGAGUGUCCACUGUUGCCUUAAAGAUAAUAUUUUAUAUUAUUGGUGAUUUUUUUUAACUUCUUGUGCAAACACUUUAGAAGUUCUAUCUAUGGAGUCUUCUACCAGAAUUUUAUUUGUGAAAAAUAACUGCUUUCCCGUAUGUCUCUCCAUUACUCCACCUUGCUUUCAAGACUGUGUUCCAGCAUCUAAAAUGUCUGCCACCUUAUGUACUUUAUUUUUUGUUACAUAACCCCAAGAUAGGAUAUGUGCUAUAAAAUUUUUCCAUGAUUUUUAGCUAAAAGCUGUUCCAGGAAGCUACCAAAGUGUUUUCUUAUAUAGUAUUUCUUCUGUUUAGCAACCUGAAACAGAGGGCCAAAAUAGCAUGAGAGGCUGCAGACAUGAGACAUGUCUAUUAGUAAUGUUAAUUGCCAAUGCCACUAAAGAGGAUGCUGACACACAUACCCUAAUUAUAGGGCAGAUUCUUCAAAAACUGCAUUUUACAAAUACUGUUGUACCAAUGGGUGGUGUUAACUCCAUUUACUCUCACUGGAGGAUUUCAAAGCGUAGGGCUCCAAAAAGCUAGAGGGGCUGUUUCCAAAAGCUGAACUGUAGCUAGAGAAUGUAGGGGAAUGUGCAGCAGGACUGGUUGAAUCUUGUAGCAAUUGGCCUCGAGGCUUGGGAGAACUGCAAGGUCUUGUCUAUUCCUGUUGAACUAAUUACUGGGUAAAUUGUUACACAGAUUAGUGAAGUUUCAUUAACUCCCUGCAUUAAGUGAAAAAGACUUCAUGACAAUGCAAAAAAUAAAUAUGAAGCAUCUUUCAUUUAAAAUGUGUUAAAUCUGCUUAUUGUGUUUGAAAUAAAUAUUUCCGGUGCUAGCUUUGGUCAAUAA